rnacentral:rRNA from 1 species
UAAAACUCAAAUGAAUUGACGGGGGCCCGCACAAGCGGUGGAGCAUGUGGUUUAAUUCGAUGCAACGCGAAGAACCUUACCUGGUCUUGACAUCCACGGAAGUUUUCAGAGAUGAGAAUGUGCCUUCGGGAACCGUGAGACAGGUGCUGCAUGGCUGUCGUCAGCUCGUGUUGUGAAAUGUUGGGUUAAGUCCCGCAACGAGCGCAACCCUUAUCCUUUGUUGCCAGCGGUCCGGCCGGGAACUCAAAGGAGACUGCCAGUGAUAAACUGGAGGAAGGUGGGGAUGACGUCAAGUCAUCAUGGCCCUUACGACCAGGGCUACACACGUGCUACAAUGGCGCAUACAAAGAGAA